CCUACGGGAGGCAGCAGUAGGGAAUUUUCGUCAAUGGGCGCAAGCCUGAACGAGCAAUGCCGCGUGAACGAGGAAGGUCUUCGGAUCGUAAAGUUCUGUUGAAGGGGAAAAAGAGCGGAGAGAGGAAAUGAACUCCGAUUGAUAUUACCCUUCGAGGAAGUCACGGCUAACUACGUGCCAGCAGCCGCGGUAAUACGUAGGGGGCAAGCGUUAUCCGGAUUUACUGGGUGGAAAGGGAGCGUAGACGGUGAUGCAAGUAAGAAGUGAAAGCCCGGGGCCCAACC
rnacentral:rRNA from 1 species